UACGUAGGGGGCAAGCGUUGUCCGGAUUUAUUGGGCGUAAAGAGCGUGUAGGCGGCUUUACAGGUCCGUUGUGAAAACUCGAGGCUCAACCUCGAGACGCCGGUGGAAACCGUAAAGCUAGAGUCCGGAAGAGGAGAGUGGAAUUCCUGGUGUAGCGGUGAAAUGCACAGAUAUCAGGAGGAACACCCGUGGCGAAAGCGGCUCUCUGGGACGGUACUGACGCUGAGACGCGAAAGCGUGGGGAGCGAACAGG
rnacentral:rRNA from 1 species